rnacentral:rRNA from 1 species
GAUCCUGGCUCAGGAUGAACGCUGGCGGCGUGCCUAAUACAUGCAAGUAGAACGCUGAAGGAAGGAGCUUGCUCUUUUCCGGAUGAGUUGCGAACGGGUGAGUAACGCGUAGGUAACCUGCCUGGUAGCGGGGGAGUAACUAUUGGAAACGAUAGCUAAUACCGCAUAACAGUAGAUGUUGCAUGACAUUUAACUUGAAAGGUGCAAUUGCACCACUACCAGAUGGACCUGCGUUGUA